GUCCACAGCCACGCCACCCUGAACGCGCCCGAUCCCAUCUGAUGUCAGAGCCUAAGCCGGGUCGGGCCUGGUUAGUACUUGGAUGGGAGACCACCUGGGAAGACCAGGUGCUGCAGGUG
rnacentral:rRNA from 1 species